GAUACAAGUGAUCGGGGAGGAAACCAAAGAAAAUAAGAAUAAAUCAGCUGAAAUCUGGUGCAAAUGAGCUAUACUGAAGUUGAAGCCAUUUUUGAAGCGCUGUCAGACAUAUGACAGGCUGUCAAAGUCACCGUCAAGAUUAGACAGAACCUGAGAAGAUUAGAUGAAUUGUGAUGAUGAUUCGGAAGGGCCGUCAAAUAUUUGACAUCUCAUCAAAAUUGCCGUCAACCAGGGGGCAUAGUAUACUGAUUUCCAAUCAAGUGUGACACCAGUUUGCAAGUGCCGUCAAGAUCUUUUGACACGUCAUCAGGAUUACCAUCUGAAGAGUCAGAAGAUAACAAUUUAUUGGAAUCUUUGACGAUAUCUCGCACACGUCAUCAGGUGUCUGACGCGCCGUCAAAAGCAUCAUCGUCUAAUUCGAAG
rnacentral:lncRNA from 1 species